rnacentral:lncRNA from 1 species
AUGGUUGUUAAAUCUCUGCAGCAGCAGGGAGUGCCCACUCGGGUGCUAUCAGCGGUGCAUGUCCCAUCCUCAAAUCCAAAAUGCCUCCAGGUAAGUGCAGGAGCUGUGCUCUGUGCCAGGGCAAUGCUUCCCAGCCCUCCUCCUCCUCCUCCUCCUCCUCCUCCUCUUGGCAGGGCCGGCUCCUGGGCUCACUGGCAGCUGCUGUCCAGUGGGGACUGGGUCUGUGGGAGCUGCCAGGUGCCAGAAGAGGGAGAUGCUGCUGGGGGACAGCGCUGGUACCCGACAGGACAGCUCCACAGCCACAGGGACACGAUGGAGAUCCAGCCUCUGCACCCGGAUUUAAGUGCUUUAAUGACAUCACAGCACAAAGGGAAAAGUGUGAGAAAAUGGGAGUGGAAAUCCACCUUUUCAUGGGCACGAGCGUUUUAUAAACGGAGUGCUGUGGGAGAGCUUUCGCAGAACCGCCUGCUACCCUGGGAAUUCCCUUUCCCGGAGUGCUGAGUCCCGGCCCCCAGGGCCAAUUCCAGCGUGAUCCGGGGCCGGGAGGAUCCGGGGGGAGCGGGCAGGGCUCCGCAGGAGCGGCACAGCAGAACCGCUGCUCGCUGUUCCCAGGCGGCUGUUUUGGGAAAUGAUGCAGCAGAAUGAAUCAGUGACCCUGCCCAGGCCCGGGGCAGCGCUCAGUCACCGCAAGGAGCGGAUUUUCCGCGGGGGAGGACACGGAGCAGCAGCAGGAUGAGUGUCCCGGGAGGGGAUGGGAU